rnacentral:tRNA from 1 species
GUUAAUUUAGCAGAAAUUAUGCAGUAGGCUUAGAACCUAAAGAUACAAAGAUCUAACUUUGUAAUUAACA